AUGCUCCCCGUGCUCAUCCCAGUCCUGGCGUUGCGUUUUGUCCUGAAAGACGCUGGAGCCCAGUCUGUGACCCAGCCCGACUCCCGCGUGGCUGUCCCGGAGCGGGCCCCUGUGCAGCUGAGAUGCACCUACUCCUAUGGCGGAGCCCUGUAUCUCUUCUGGUACCUUCAGCCCCCAGGCCAGGGCCCCCGGCUUCUGCUCAGGUACUAUUCAGGAGACCCUCGGGUUCAAGGCAUCAGAAGCUUCGAGGCUGAACACAGGAAGAAUGAAUCUUCUUUCCACCUGAGAAAACGCUCUGUGCAGUGGAGCGACACAGCUGAGUACUUCUGCGCCCUGAGCCCCACAGCGCCUACGGCUGCAGGGGGAGCCCGACCAAAACUGAGUCGCCUGGAGGGCGGUUGCAUCUGA